rnacentral:misc_RNA from 1 species
CAACCAUCAAGCCUCUAAGCUUGGUAUUGGAUGUCACCUAGCUUUGGUGCAUCUUAAAAUUAGUGGCGGUGCCAUUUAGCUUCAAGCGUAGUAAAAUUUCUCGCUCCUGGAGUUUAGGUUGUGCCUGCUUAGAACCCCAUAAUUUAUG